UACGGAGGGUGCGAGCGUUGUCCGGAAUUACUGGGCGUAAAGGGCGCGUAGGCGGCCUGUUAAGUCGAACGUGAAAUCCCCGGGCUCAACCCGGGAACUGCGUCCGAUACUGGCAGGCUUGAAUCCGGGAGAGGGAUGCGGAAUUCCAGGUGUAGCGGUGAAAUGCGUAGAUAUUGGGAGGAACACCAGUGGCGAAGGCGGCUCGCUGGACCGGUUCUGACGCUGAGGCGCGAAAGCGUGGGGAGCAAACGGG
rnacentral:rRNA from 1 species